rnacentral:rRNA from 1 species
CACGUAGGGCGCGAGCGUUGUCCGGAAUUACUGGGCGUAAAGAGCUCGUAGGUGGUUUGUCGCGUUGUUCGUGAAAUCUCACGGCUUAACUGUGAGCGUGCGGGCGAUACGGGCAGACUAGAGUACUGCAGGGGAGACUGGAAUUCCUGGUGUAGCGGUGGAAUGCGCAGAUAUCAGGAGGAACACCGGUGGCGAAGGCGGGUCUCUGGGCCGAUACUGACGCUGAGGAGCGAAAGCGUGGGGAGCGAACAGG